CCUACGGGAGGCAGCAGUGAGGAAUAUUGGUCAAUGGCCGAGAGUCUGAACCAGCCAAGUAGCGUGAGGGAUGACUGCCCUAUGGGUUGUAAACCUCUUUUAUCAGGGAGUAAAGUGUUCCACGUGUGGUGUUUUGUAUGUACCUUAUGAAUAAGGAUCGGCUAACUCCGUGCCAGCAGCCGCGGUAAUACGGAGGAUCCGAGCGUUAUCCGGAUUUAUUGGGUUUAAAGGGUGCGUAGGCGGGUUGUUAAGUCAGGUGUGAAAUUUUGUGGCUCAACCGUAAAAUUGCGGUUGAAACUGUUGGUCUUGAGUGCGGUAGAGGUAGGCGGAAUGCGUGGUGUAGCGGUGAAAUGCUUAGAUAUCACGAAGAACUCCGAUUGCGAAGGCAGCAUACCGGAGCGCAACUGACGCUGAAGCUCGAAAGCGUGGGUAUCGAACAGGAUUAGAUACCCUUGUAGUC
rnacentral:rRNA from 1 species